CAGUUGCUAGCAUUCAGUGAACAACCCGCGGUAUAACUCUAUGUGAAUUUUCACGUGAUUUUGUGUUUUUUCGCGUAAAUUUGAAUUGAUUGUUGAAAGGUGUGAAGGUGGCAUGCGUAUCCAGGACUUGGCUGCUGCAUACCGUAUGCUGAGAACGAUGGUAUCUACUAUUGUGAAAAACAAAGACGUUAUUAAAUCGUAAAGUGAGGCUAAAUUCUCAUUUAUUUCAUCUAAUUGCUUUUGUAUUUAUGUAUUUUAGUAUUAAGCAGUGUUUAAAUUAUUUUAUACAACCCCAUCAAUGUAUAAUAUGCCAAUAACAAUAGGAUUGUUUUUCAUGGGAACGGAUUAAUCAUUUUCCCUUUAUUUCUUAUGGGAAAAAUUUGUUUGGUAU